AUUAAUGGUCCAAAGUCAGGAGAGGGAGUGGAACAUUCAUGCCACUUGGUGGAGGCAUAAUCCCCAGAAGUCAGCAACUAGAGGCAAUCACCUGAUCAUCCUUAGCUACAGCUCUUGUUUGGAACUUGGAAAGAAUGAAGUCAUCUAAGGGCUCAUCUGGGGAAAUGUUACAUAAAGUGUCUCACUGAACUCCCCAAAUUUAUCCGAAGUACGCUGUCUGGAUCUGACUCGUAUUUCAUAUUCUCUAUCCAACCUCAAGGAGUACACUGGAACAGAUGUGGAGCGCACGAGAUCCAUCUACAAAUAUAAAAACAUCACCGACAAUUUUCUGAUUAACAAAAGCUGGGAGAGACUGACAAAUGAUGGUAAAGUCUAGAAGAUUCUCAGAAAAAAAAAAGGUCAGGGAUAAUCACAUAACGAUAUUGCUUCAUUUUACAUGGUACAUGUGCCCUUGAAAAGUUUUGAAUAAGCAAUAAAUUUAAGUUCUACAUAUGAUUAUCCUGGAAUUAUCUUACAAAAUUAUUAAUAUUGUUUCUAGUUAAUGAUAAUAACUUGUUAUUUAAGAAGAUCCCAUGGUGAGGCUUUUGCUAAAGCAAAGAAUCCUCCUAGCAGGUGGUAUGGCUUUUGGGUAAGCCCCAGCAUCUAUAGGUCAGGUUUUUUGAAAGCACAGCUCCACCUCUAUUUGAGUUUUUGAUGUAUCAAACAGGUAGGAUAGUCAUUGGAUGCCUAUUGUCUGUUAGCAGUGCACUGGAAGAGAUUCUUUUGGGGAUGCUGUCCUAUAAAGUAUAUCUGUAUAGUGAAGGGAAGGCAUUUAAAGAGGGAUCAGAUAAGACCAUAUAAAUUAGAAAGCUAUGUUUAUAUGUAAAAGCCAUACCAGUAUACAAAGUUUGUGACUGUAGAAGGGACAUUGGGACUCAAGAAAAUUAUAAGGAACCAUGAACCAUCGACUUAGAAAGGACUUUCAGAUGAGGUCACUUGUUAGCUUUGUUUAAUUGUUUUACUUUAUAAAGAGAGCUCUCAUGAGCAGAGGCAAUCUAGAAAUGUUUGUAAUGAAAAAACAAAACAUGUCAAUAAAACUUAAAAAAGAAAAAAAAAAAAAGAAAUCCUCUGGUCUUUUUCAAUUCCAUUCAUUAAGACUUCACUAAGACUUUUCUUAUUUCUCCAAAGGCUUAAAACUACCUGGAAAGACAAUUCCAUACAUUAUGAAAAUAUUUAGCAAAAGUCUCUGGUUUCCCUUACUAAGGUAUAUAGCCUUCAGUUAGCAUUUCCCCAUUAUCUCUUUGAAUUGGUGUGAUGCUGUUUGGACUGGGAAGA